AUGAAAAAUUACAUGCACUGCCUGCAUCAUGCCCUGCACAGUCCUGCUGUGGGUUAGGAUUAGGUCCUGGCUCUGAGCUCCUCUCACUUGGCAUUGCUCAGUCUCUCUGUGAGCCUAUUUACAAUGCAAUAUGCUUUGAUCACACAGGCCACUCAUCUACAUCCCAUGCAAAAUAAGUUAAAGCAACAGCUUUCAUGAAACCAAUCUUUGUUGGUGUUGCAGGAUGCGUAUUUUGAUCUCAUCAUAGCCCAAGCCUUGAAUCCCUAAUGGCACUUUGCCACAAGUAGUACCUGGGAUUGCUCGCCUGUUCACAGCUAUCUCCUGAAAUACACUCUUGAGUAUCAGAGAAGACAGCUGCUUGUUGCUAUUCCUUGAUUCAUGUGAAAAACAGAGAACACAGGACAUCCCCUGUGCCCUGGGAGUUUGAGGGCAUACCUCUUUGGAACAAGAGCCUGGGAGACAGACACAGAGUGCCAGGUUGGACAGGCAGGGAGUAGGAGCAGCAGCAAGAGGCUGCAGCACAGCAGAGGCAGGCAAACAAGCAGAGCCUUUCCAUCACCUCUGCAAAAGGCUUCUAGAAAUCAAGGAAGCUUCUGAAUUUGAAAACACUACUCCAGAGGAAAACAAACCUAAAGACUUUUCCCUUCCCUGACACAGUAAGGGGCAAA